rnacentral:rRNA from 1 species
GUUGCAAUAGUAAUUCUGCUCAGUACGAGAGGAACCGCAGAUUCAGACAAUUGGCUCAUGCACUUGCCUGAAAAGACAAUGGUGCGAAGCUACCAUCUGUUGGAUUAUGAUUGAACGCCUCUAAAUCAGAAUCCGUGUUAGAACGCAAC